CUUCCAUACGCCGACAUGUAUGUUGAAUAACUAGCCUUUAUGUUUUUCGCUGCCAUGAAGUUUUUGCUCAUCAGCGAUUUAUCGAGUGCGAUUCGCGAAGCGCGUUUCGCGAUUACGCGAAAGCAGUAAACAAAUUAUUCGAGCGAGUCAUUACGCGUAACGAGCGAGAGGUCGCGAUAGCGCCCCUCGCAAGGUUUCGCGUCGCGCUUCUCGCUCGAACAUUCUCGAAACUCGCUCGAAAAAAAUGUAUAGUUUCCGUUGGACGGUACUGUAAUUUAUCAUAAGUUCAUAUGUCA